CUAUAAUUUUCAUCGCCUUGGCACGCGCACCAGUCAUCGGACAUCAUAACCAACGUAUCUCACCUUUCUAAACCCUACCACCCACUGUACGCCGCCCCGCCGCACGCCGUUCCUGCCCGAUAGUUUCUAAACCCUCGAGUUUGCAGCAGCUUAGAGCUUAAAAGGGUUGUUGGGUUUUUUUUUAGGGGUUUCAAUCUCAGGGGCAAGAUGAAGCAGGUAGUGGGGAUGGUGGUCUCAAAUAAAAUGCAGAAAUCGGUGGUCGUUGCAGUGGACAGAUUGUUUUAUCACAAGCUCUAUAAUCGCUACGUUAAGCGCACUUCUAAGUUCAUGGCUCAUGACGAGAACAACCAGUGCAAUAUUGGUGACAGGGUUAAACUAGACCCUUCUAGGCCGUUGAGCAAGCAUAAACGUUGGGUGGUUGCUGAAAUUUUGAGGAAAGCACGAAUUUACCAACCACCAUCACAAGAGAACCAGGUUGUUUCAGACAAAGGCAAAGUUUCAGCUCCUUCAACUACCUAAGGAGGAGAUGUAAAUACCUGUAGCACCUUGGAUUCUUGAAAGUUGUAAGGUGCAAAGCAAACAUUUUUCCGAAGGAGCUUUAAAGGGGAAACUACUGCAAACCACAUACGAGACCGAACCAGAUAAAAAAAAAAAAACGAAAUUGAUCGAAAAAGCGAAGAACGAAAUCUCUGGAAAUGAACUACUACUGUAAGCAGUAUGUAUGUUUCUGAUGCUAAAGAUUUGUAGUUACAUUAGCAUUACGUUUUGUAUUGAUGUGUGAACCUAUUUUUGUUCUCCCUAUCAGGAUUUAUUUCCAUAGUUUCUUUUUGUGAGGUUGUUGAAAGUGCAUAAUAAAGAACUCAAAAAGGUUUCAUCUAAUUUAAUA